GCGGAGAGCUGUGUUAGCAGCCUUCGAAGGAAACUUCGGAGUGAAAAGUGGGUGAAUUCAGGGAACGGUCCGACUUUGUUGGAUUAAUCCUGAGCCAAUCCUCCAUUAAUAGUUAGGCAUGUUUGCCGAAUCUUUUAAUGAAGGCAGGUGCAGAGACUAGGUGAUUACACCAAUUAGCGCCCACCACCCCACCCUACGCCCAGUAUUAAAAAUACAGGGCUUCGGAGCGGCAAGUAAAAACUUGUCCUUCCGCAGCUUAGGCGGAGAAGGGUGAUGAGAUAGUCCAAAAAGUAACUCUAAGGUCGUA
rnacentral:ncRNA from 1 species